CUCGUAGGCGGUUCGUCGCGUCCGGUGUGAAAGUCCAUCGCUUAACGGUGGAUCCGCGCCGGGUACGGGCGGGCUUGAGUGCGGUAGGGGAGACUGGAAUUCCCGGUGUAACGGUGGAAUGUGUAGAUAUCGGGAAGAACACCAAUGGCGAAGGCAGGCCUCUGGGCCGUCACUGACGCUGAGGAGCGAAAGCGUGGGGAGCGAACA
rnacentral:rRNA from 1 species